CAUGGCAGCAACAUUAAAACUUCCGGUUUUCCGAUUUGCCUUCAAAAUAAACAUCUGUUGUUUAAACGCUGUAUCCUAUCACAGUUUAAAUGUCUUUCCAGUUUUCUUGAGAUGUAUUCCUGGAUGUUUAUAUGGCCCUAGUGGUGGGACUGAAGGAACCCUAGUGGUUGGAACGUUGGGCCAGUAACAACGGUUGCUGGAUUGAAUCCCUGAGCUGACAAGAGGACCUGAGCCCUAGGACCAUGCCUCAGGACUACCUUGCAUGAUGACUCCUUGCU